rnacentral:lncRNA from 1 species
CCGCCCCCGCCGCCCGGCACCGCCCCGCGCCGCCCCUCUGCUCGCGCCCGGCCAGGGACCGGCGCGCUGUUCCGUCCCCCAGCUCCGCCGCAGAGUUCGGCGAAGCCGACGCUCCCUGACCGCGCUGCGUCUGUCUGUCCCGCGGGUCUGGAGAUCUUCAAACGAUGGAACACCGGCUUUGCCCUUCUGAGGGUCUCCAUCCCUUGGCAUUCUGCCUGCGCCCCUCAGCCUGGCCCUGGGCUAACCUCUCCACUGUGUCUCAUUCAGAAGAAGCUUUUCCUUGGGAGGAGAGGGCAUCCUUUUUCCCAGUCACAGAAUGUUUUGGUCUAAUGGACCUCAAGGCCCCUCAUGCGUCCACACCCCCAUGGCACCCUCGAAUCCCCUUGAUGGCUAAAAACACCAGCUUUGAAGUUUGUCAGAACGAGUUCCAGUCCCAGUACCACCACUUACAAACUGUAACCUCGGGCGAGGUACCUGACCUCCUAUACCUGGUGCCCACAUUUGUAGCACCAGGAUAGGGAACAACAGUCCCCACAUCAAAGGGUGUUGACGGGAUGAAAUCACACAAUAUAGGUGAGGCCCUCAGCAGGAUCCUGGCACACAGUAAGCACUCAAUAAAUGUUCACCCCACCACCAGCAACUCAGCAGGAAGACUCCGCAAAAGCAGCUAGCUAUUUCCAGAGGACUGAAUUCCUUGGUCCGAGCAGCUCUCACCAGUGAGAAAAUGUGUCUAAACUUCCACUCUCAGGGCCGAAAUUCGAUGCCUUGGAGCCACAGAGAACAAACGUCUAAUCUCUCCUGGACCUUUGACUUUUCAGAUACUUUACUUCUAUCACCUCUGCCCAAGGUCUUCUCAUUCCACAUCAGUGUCUCCCGUUCCUUCCAUUGUUCCUCCUCUGCCCUGGUUUUGAGGGUCUUUAUCCCUCUCACGCAAAUGGUAGAUUUGACUGUGAUUUCUUUAGAAUACAUCACCCAAGACUGAACCAAAUGUUUGUGGUAUCAUCAGAGCAAAGCAGGACUAUAGCUUCCUCCUUUUGGGACCUAUCGCUUUGCACUCCUGCGAUAAAGUUCUUGGCACCCAUACUGUUGACUCAUAUUGGGCUUGCAGUCAACCAAAACCUCCGCGUCUUUUUAAUAAGUGCUCCGCCAGAGCACUUCUACCCCUUCUUGUGCUUCUCAGCCAACUUCGCUUCAGGUCAGCUAAGGAUAGACCUUGGGCCCCUCACCUUCUAAAUUUCUCAGGAUAUAUGGAAAAGAGGAAUAGGGGUUGGAAGCUGGCAUAACACAAUCUUUAAACCAAGUGCAUUUGAAAAAAGGCCAGGGUGGCGGGGCGUGGUAGCUCACACCUGUAAUCCCAUCACUUUGGGAAGCCAAGGCAGGUGGAUCAUUUGAGGUCAGGAGUUCAAGACCAGCCUGACCAACAUGGCGAAACCCCAUCUCUACUAAAAAUACAAAAAUUAGCUGGGCAUGGUGGCACGCACCUGUAGUCCCAGCUACUCGGGAGGCUGAGGCAGGAGAAUCGCUUGAACCCGGAAGGCGGAGGUUGCAGUGAGCCAAGAUCACGCCACUGAACUCCAGCCUGGGCGACAGAGGGAGACUCCAUCUCCAAAAAAAAAAAAAAAGAAGAAACGAAAAAAGGCCAGGGUUUGUGUCUAAACACUAUGGUACUGAGAGAAAAACAAAUAUAGAGACACACACAAAUGAAUGUGAUCACAACUGUGAAAAAAAACUGCACACGCAAAAGACUACAGGGAAAUAUGUAAUUGAUUAUGUUGUUUUCUCUCAGUGAUAAGAUGGGGUGGUUUCUUCUUUGUACUUUUGUAUUAAUUUCUUACGGUGUUUGUAUUACUUUUAUAAUCAAGAACUUUGUUUUAAAAAAUAAAUCAGAAAAAAGAAUUUAAAAAAUCAGAGAGAUGGAAUAACUUGAAAAAAACUGAAAACAAAGUUAAAAGAUAACAGAAUAAGGGGAAAACUAUUCGCAAUACACAAAAGACAAAGGAUUUGUCUAUAAAGGACUCUUAACAAAUCAAUAAUAAAAAGAAUGAGGCCGGGCGCGGUGGCUCACGCCUGUAAUCCCAGCCCUUUGGGAGGCCGAGGCGGGCAGAUCACGAGGUCAGGAGAUUGAGACCAUCCUGGCUAACGUGGUGAAACCCUGUCUCUACUAAAAACACAAAAAAUUAGCUGGACGUGGUGGCAGGCGCCUAUAGUCCCAGCUACUCAGGAGGCUGAGGCAGGAGAAUGGCGUGAACCCGGGAGGCGGAGCUUGCAGUGAGCCGAGAUCCCGCCACUGCACUCCAGCCUGGGCGACAGAGCGAGACUCCGUCUCAAAAAAAAAAAAAAAAAAAAAAAAAAAGAAUUGAUAUGUAAUCUCAGCACUUUGGGAGGCCAAGGCUGGCAUAUCAUGAGGUCAGGAGUUCAAGACCAGUCUGACCAAUAUGGUGAAACCUUGUCUCUACUAAAAAUACAAAAAUUAGCCAGGUGUGGUGGCGCACACCUGUAAUCUCAGCUACUCAGGAGGCUGAGGCAGGAGAAUCGCCUGAACCCAGGAGGCAGAGGUUGCAGUGAGCCGAGAUUGCACCACUGCAUUCCAGCCUGGGUGACAGAGUGAAACUUUGUCUUUAAAAAAAAAAAAAGAGAGAGAGAAAGAAAAUUUAGAAUCAGCUAAAUGCCCACCAAUGGGGGGUGGCUAACUAAAAUGUAGAAUAUUUAUAUAAUAAAAUUCUAUAGAGAAUUUAAAUGAAGCAUGGGCAACAUAGUGAGACCUCAUUUCUACAAACAGUUUUUAAAAAUCAGCCGGGCGUGGUGGCUCCAGCAUGUAGUUGCAACUGCUACUCAGGAGGCUGAGGUGGGAGGAUCACUUGAGCCCAGGAGGUCAAGGCCGCAGUAAGCUGUGAUCGUGCCACUGCACUCAAGCCUGGGUGACAGAGAAAGACCCUGUCUCCAAAA